UUUUUUUUUUUUUUGCAGUUGCAUGAUCAUAGCUCACUGUAACCUUGAAUUCUUGGGUUCAAGUGAUCCUCCUGCCUCAGCCUGCCAAGUAGCUAGGACUACAGGGAUGCACCACCAUGCCUGGCUUUUUUUUUUUUUUGAGAUGGGGUCUUGCUAUGUUGCCCAGGCUGGUCUUGAACUCCUGUCCUCAAGUGAUCUUCCUACCUUCCCCUCCCAAAGUACUAAGAUUACAGGUGUGAGCUACCACACCCAGCUGAGAAAAUUAUAUAACCCUUCUAGGCCUCAGUUCCCUCACUGGAGAUAAUGGAUACAGAUUUAAUUAUAAUGUGCUUAGCACAGUGCCUGGCCAUAAGAGUCACUCAGUGAAGAGUCAUCAUAAGAUUCCAGGGUCCAUAAGAAGAGUAUGUGAAGAAGGGCCUCCAGAGACAACCUACCUUAUCUCCUACAGAUGUCCAGGAUUUACCAGCUCAUGUAUAACAUGGAAUCAUACUAACAACAUUCACCAUGUUCUGUUGGCUCUUAAUGUUCCAGUUAAUACAGAAACUCUACCCCUGCCAAUUGCCCUCCCCAUGCAUUGACUUCUGCAAAUUCUCCAGUAGUGUCACAAGCAAGUCCUUAUCUUCCAGGUGACGUCCGUAUCAUCCUUCCUCUAGCUGCUUUGAUGAUGUUUGUAGUUAAGAGCUCCACUGCCUUCUAAGAUGGCUUGGGAUUCCUCUCCACUACCUUUACAUUUUCCUUUAAAUGUUAUUUUUCACCUUAUAAAAAGGGUAUCAUGCUGUAUGUAAUUUUCAGGACUUUUUUCACCAAAUGUUGUGCUGCUAAUAUUCAUGCAUAUUGUUUUAUGUCACUGUAGCUCAUUUGUUUUGGCUACUGUACAUUUUCCACUCUUCUGCUGAUGGGCACCUGGGUAGCUUCUAGGCUUCUGCUAUUGUGAAAGUGCUACAAAGUAUAUUCAUGUUCACAUUUUCUAUUGCACAUGUAGGUUUCUUCCAGCAUAUACCCAGGAGUGCUACUGCUGGAUUGCAAUAUGUGAAUGUUACAUGUUACUUCAUGUAUUAUUUUUCUUUUUUUUUUUUUUUUAAGACAGAGUCUCACUCUGUUGCCCAGGCUGGAGUGCAGUGGCAUGAUCUCAGCUCACUGUAACCUCUGCCUCUCAGGUUCAAGCUAUUCUCCUCUCUCAGCCUCCCAAGUAGCUGGGACUACAGGCGCACGCCACCACCCCAGGCUAAUUUUUGUAUUUUUAGUAGAGACGGGCUUUCACCGUAUUGGUCAGGUUGCUCUUGAACUCCUGAGCUCAGGCAGAGGUUGCAGUGAGCCGAGAUCAUGCCACUGCACUCCAGCCUGGGCAACAAGAGUG
rnacentral:lncRNA from 10 species